CCCACACAGCAGUCUCCUUCCUUCGGGUUAGGCAAUAAUCAUCCGGGGAACUGUCCACUCGCCGUAGCCGAAUACACAAACACACACACGGUUCCUGUGUCCCGUUGCUAACUUACAGCUAGCUUAUGCUAACGUCUGUACACUUGCUACUUUGGCUGUUUGGGGGCGAACAAACAAACGACCCCCCGCGGUCACAUUCACCGGAAUGAUGCUAGGAGAAAAGUAGGCAUCGCUGUGAGAAGGAAUAUGGCGUUUGAUAUCGGUUUUGUUUGUGUUUCUGCAAAUAGACGGUUGCAGGUGGACUGGUGUUUACAUGGUCCGUGGGAGCUGGAAUUCCACAGCUGUGUGGCGGCUGCAGUGCUUUUAUGUGUCUCCUAGCUACAGAUCUGCAGCCUCAAUGGAUGUCAUCUGGGAAGAAGAAGAGGAGCCUUGUAGAGACCAGCUGAAGGGACGUCUUCUCUGAGCUGAAGCUCUGAGAUGAGUGCAGAGUUUCCGGACCACAACGGAGAAGUUCCUUCACUCCAUUCAUGCCGCCUUCUCUCCGUACUCACUGUAUACUCAUAGUAUUGUAUGUCAUGAAAUAAUUUAAAGUAAAGUAAGUAAUAGUACGUAUAAUGUAAAAAAAAGCUCAGAAAAGUCAUACAUAAUGUCAAAAAGUGUUAUUACAUAGUUAUUACAUUGUUAUAACAUGUAUUAGGUCAAAAAUCUAUCAAAAAGUCACAGAAAGUGUUAUUACAUAGUUAUUACAUUGUUAUAACAUGUAUUAGGACAAAAAUCUAUCAAAAAGUCACAGAAAGUGUUAUUACAUAGUUAUGACAUUGUUAUAACAUGUAUUAUGACAAGAAUCUAUCAAAA